rnacentral:rRNA from 1 species
ACGAACGCUGGCGGCAUGCCUAACACAUGCAAGUCGAACGAGACCUUCGGGUCUAGUGGCGCACGGGUGCGUAACGCGUGGGAAUCUGCCCCUGGGUUCGGAAUAACAGUUAGAAAUGACUGCUAAUACCGGAUGAUGACGUAAGUCCAAAGAUUUAUCGCCCAGGGAUGAGCCCGCGUAGGAUUAGCUAGUUGGUGAGGUAAAGGCUCACCAAGGCGACGAUCCUUAGCUGGUCUGAGAGGAUGAUCAGCCACACUGGGACUGAGACACGGCCCAGACUCCUACGGGAGGCAGCAGUGGGGAAUAUUGGACAAUGGGGGAAACCCUGAUCCAGCAAUGCCGCGUGAGUGAUGAAGGCCUUAGGGUUGUAAAGCUCUUUUACCCGAGAUGAUAAUGACAGUAUCGGGAGAAUAAGCUCCGGCUAACUCCGU